rnacentral:rRNA from 1 species
AGUGAACGCUGGCGGUAGGCCUAACACAUGCAAGUCGAACGGCAGCACAGUAAGAGCUUGCUCUUACGGGUGGCGAGUGGCGGACGGGUGAGGAAUACAUCGGAAUCUACUUUUUCGUGGGGGAUAACGUAGGGAAACUUACGCUAAUACCGCAUACGACCUACGGGUGAAAGCAGGGGAUCUUCGGACCUUGCGCGAUUGAAUGAGCCGAUGUCGGAUUAGCUAGUUGGCGGGGUAAAGGCCCACCAAGGCGACGAUCCGUAGCUGGUCUGAGAGGAUGAUGAGCCACACAGGAACUGAGACACGGUCCAGACUCCGACGGGAGGCAGCAGUGGGGAAGAUUGGACAAUGGGCGCAAGCCUGAUCCAGCCAUACCGCGUGGGUGAAGAAGGCCUUCGGGUUGUAAAGCCCUUUUGUUGGGAAAGAAAAGCAGCAGGUUAAUACCCCGCUGUUCUGACGGUACCCAAAGAAUAAGCACCGGCUAACUUCGG